UGGCGUCCAACGUUGAGGCUUGAGAACAUGGAGGAUUGGUGAANGUCACACACCAAAGCAGGUCUGGUCAAGUGAUUGCCAAGGGGACACCUGACUGGACAGAGAUCCGGAGAGUUGAUUUGUGCUGAUGCAAGGUAAGUUUACCAUGGGACAAGCAUUUAGUAAGCAGGAUUUAUUUAUUUCAGGACUUGAACNGUCUCUCAAGACACGAGGAACAAGGGUUAAAAAAAAGAUUUAAAAAAGUUUCUUGAUUAUAUUGGGGAUCUUUGUCUCU
rfam:Neotoma lepida isolate 417 scaffold_2945, whole genome shotgun sequence.